AUUACAAAACAUCAAAACAACAUAAUAUCAUCAAGUACUUAUAUAGUGAUCAUCCAUCACUAUGUAAGUAAUGUAUCAUUUGUAUCUAGCGGCUUGAAUAAUGGAUCAAAUCCUAGAUCAUAUUUCCAUGCAGGAUCUUUUUUACCCAUAAUCUUAAUUCACUGUAAUAAUAAAAGCAAUUGUUAUUGACAGUCUAAAAAAUUCAACUGUAAACAAUAACAAUUAAACAAUAGCAAUUGAUACGAAUUGUUAUUAUAAUUGUUAUUAUAGUACUGUUACGAAUUUGUUAGUGGAAUAAAUUAUAACUGUUAGGAAUUACAAUAACAAUAAACACUAACAAAGUAACAAUAACACUGUAAACAAUAACAAUUAAACAGAACAAUUAAAACAAUAACAGAACUCAGACCCUCGACAGAACUCAGUCGCUACAAGAAACUGAGAAAGAAGGAGACGACCCAGACGAACUCAGACCCUCGAUCGACGCAAGAAGGAGACGACCCAGAGGAAGAGAGGAAGAAACGAAAAAAAACAGAGACCAAAUAGUCACAGUUGAGUCGCACGAUGGUCGCGAAGAAGGAGAAGGAGAAGGAGUAGAAGAAGAAGCAGUAGAAGAAGAAGAAAGAGAAGGAAGAUACCUGGGAUUUCACGAGCAAUCGAGUCGCAGGAUGGUCGCGAGAAGAAGAAGCAGUCGAUGGUCGCGAGAAAGUACAGCCCAAUCUGAUAUUUAGGUCUUUUUUAAAGCCAAGUCGAGUCGCACGCCUCGCACGGCCUUGAGGCGCAACGCCUUGAGGCGUAAGCCUCGGCAGGAAAAGGCGCAAGGUU
rnacentral:lncRNA from 1 species